UACGUAGGGACCAAGCGUUGUUCGGAUUUACUGGGCGUAAAGGGCGCGUAGGCGGCCUAGCAAGUCACUUGUGAAAUCUCCGGGCUUAACUCGGAAUGGCCAAGUGAAACUGCCAGGCUAGAGUGCAGAAGGGGCAAUCGGAAUUCUUGGUGUAGCGGUGAAAUGCGUAGAUAUCAAGAGGAACACCUGAGGUGAAGACGGGUUGCUGGGCUGACACUGACGCUGAGGCGCGAAAGCCAGGGGAGCAAACGGG
rnacentral:rRNA from 1 species